rnacentral:rRNA from 1 species
GGUUUAAUUCGAUGAUACGCGAGGAACCUUACCCGGGCUUGAACUGCAGGAGAACGAUUCAGAGAUGAUGAGGUCCUUCGGGACUCCUGUGGAGGUGCUGCAUGGUUGUCGUCAGCUCGUGCCGUGAGGUGUCGGCUUAAGUGCCAUAACGAGCGCAACCCCUCUCCGUAGUUGCCAUCGGGUAAUGCCGGGCACUCUGCGGACACUGCCACCGUAAGGUGUGAGGAAGGUGGGAUGACG